CCUACGGGAGGCAGCAGUGGGGAAUAUUGCGCAAUGGGCGAAAGCCUGACGCAGCCACGCCGCGUGAGGGAUGAAGGUCUUCGGAUUGUAAACCUCUGUCAGCAGGGAAGAACGGUCACUGUGCUAAUCAGCAGUGAAUUGACGGUACCGGCAAAGGAAGCACCGGCUAACUCCGUGCCAGCAGCCGCGGUAAUACGGAGGGUGCGAGCGUUAAUCGGAAUUACUGGGCGUAAAGCGCACGCAGGCGGUAUAUUAAGUCAGAGGUGAAAUCCCCGGGCUUAACGUGGGAACUGCCUCUGAAACUGGCCAGCUGGAGUGUGUGAGAGGAUGGUGGAAUUCCAGGUGUAGGAGUGAAAUGCGUAGAUAUGUGGAGGAACAUCAGUGGCGAAGGCGACUAUCUGGACCAUAACUGACGCUGAGGAGCGAAAGCGUGGGUAGCAAACAGGAUUAGAUACCCUUGUAGUC
rnacentral:rRNA from 1 species